UUUUUAAUCGUGUUUGAUAAUUUUUUGAAAGUACUUUGUCUAAUUAAAGACAUUUUUGAAAGAAGUUGUUUUAAAAUAACUUCCUAUAAGCAGCAAAAGUUCUGUCAGACAAGGUCUAGGUACCGAAUACUUAUGUAUUACCUUCACAAUGACAGAUUCAUCAAAUAAUAAAAAAUUGGAUGAUAUUUUCCUUUUUUCCGUAAACAUAUAUAUUGCACUAGUUACAAAAUUUGGCGAUUCCUCCUGCAGAGGCACUCAGGAAGUUCUGGUACUUCCCAUGCAAUCAGUAAAAUUCAAUGGCAUUUACAUUUUACAGCACAAGAAAAAAAAACAAAACAAAAAAAAAAAAAAAGAGAGGAAAGGAAAGGAAACUAAGACCGGCAUUUACAAGACACAACUCAAAGUCCAACAUUGCUUCGCACAUCCCAACUCCGCAGUCACAGAAAUACAUUAUUGGCAUUUGAUUGUAGCAUACUUUGUUUUGAGGCAAAAAAUGUAAAAGAAUUAAACAAUAAACGAAAGAAAAAAAUUUGUUAGUUGUUAAAAGUAGUUUUGGGCAUUUUGUAGGAUGGUAAAGUAUUCAGUUGAAAAUAAAAUGAUGAUAUAUAUUUGAUGUACGUACAUUGUAGAGAUGGUGAUGAAUUAAGCUGCCUCUGCUGAUAAGAUCUCGAGUUCAGCCCACCAGAGGGGAGAAAGUCUUGGAGCUGCGGCUUCAGGCGAUAUAUCGAUGACUUCCCUCAAUUUUUGAA
rnacentral:lncRNA from 1 species